AGCAGCCGCGGUAAUUCCAGCUCCAAUAGCGUAUAUUAAAGUUGUUGCAGUUAAAAAGCUCGUAGUUGAAUUUCGGGGUCAGCAGGUUGGUCGUGCCACUGGUAUGUACUGGCUUUGCUGAUUCCUCCUUCUUGUAGAACCGUAAUGCCAUUAAGUUGGUGCUGCGGGAAAACAGGACUGUUACUUUGAAAAAAUUAGAGUGUUUAAAGCAGGCUAACGCUUGAAUACAUUAGCAUGGAAUAAUGAAAUAGGACGACGAUCCUAUUUUGUUGGUUUCUAGGAUUGACGUAAUGAUUAAUAGGGAUAGUUGGGGGCAUUAGUAUUCAAUUGUCAGAGGUGAAAUUCUUGGAUUUAUUGAAGACUGACUACUGCGAAAGCAUUUGCCAAGGAUGUUUUCAUUAAUCAAGAACGAAAGUUAGGGGAUCGAAGACGAUCAGAUACCGUCGUAGUCUUAACCAUAAACUAUGCCGACUAGGGAUCGGAUGAUGUUAAUUUUAUAAUGACUCA
rnacentral:rRNA from 1 species